UUUUUUUGCAGAAGUCUGGAGGCAAGAAUAAAGCUUGUUUCACAAAUCCACAAAACCAGCUUUAUCAAGUAUUUUGCUGGUGGUUUCUGCGAAUUGAUACUGCAGCUUUUGAAAUAUGGAGAGAACAAUACAGUUGACCAAAUAAUGUCAGCCGCUGCAUCGACAGAUCUCCACUGCAAUCCACUGAAUUGUAUUUUGGCUUUGCCAAUUACCUGGGUAGUUAUAGAAUAUGUAUUACAAUAUAGAAUGCGGCUGUGUCUGUAGCCUAUCUUCCUGGUGGGGAAAAAGGCA
rnacentral:lncRNA from 1 species